GCGAAGCAAGGAACAGGAACGGCGACUCCUCGUUGUGCGCAUCGGCGAAGAUCGCUAGAGAGCCUGGAAGAGGAGACGGCGCCGCCGCAGGAAGAGGAGGGAGCUCCGAAGCUGCUCGACGAAAUGCCUAAACUCAAACAGGUAGCAUUUGCGAUCGAGGGCAAAUUGGUCAUUUGGUUCCCAUCAAAUCUCGUUUAUAUUAUGGAAACGGAGACUACCCUCUAAACAGCCCCAUACUUUAGAGGAUCAAAUAAAAAAAAUGCACCCCGGCAUACUCACUGGAGUUGCUCUAAUACCCCUCAAUCAUUUACUUUACAAAACAUGACUUAUCUUUUUAAGGUUUUAUCGUAUUUUUAUCUCUAUUUUAUCAUGUGAUUUCUGUUGCUUGCUACUUUCUUCUUUAUGUCUUCCCCGUUCCUUCUUCCUCUCCAUAGGCUCCUUGUCCAUUGUUGAAGAGGUUUCGUGGAUCGCUCAUCGGAACGAAGAAAC
rnacentral:lncRNA from 1 species